GGGGAGCUGGUGCUGGGGAUCAGCGCGUGCGCGGGGCCUCGCCCCCUGCCUGCUGGCCCUUAAAUACAGUGGCGGUCUCGCUCUGGACUCCCUCGCGUAGUAAAUCACCUCGCCUGUGGAAGCCUGGCCUGGCCACGCCGUAAAACCCCCAACUUUUUAUGGUUGACCUCGAAUCAGGUAGGAAUACCCGCUGAACUUAA
rnacentral:misc_RNA from 1 species